GAGGAGUGGACUCCGUCAUUUUACCAAUACAUGAUAUGCACUUUUGAAAUCACCACCCUCAUGGCAUGGCCGAAACUAUUUACCAAGACAUGGUAAGAGUAUGUUAGUUUACAAUUUUACCCCCUGAUAUAACUCUUCAAGGCCUAAUCCACCAUUUCAGCGUUUCCUUUCUCUCUCUAACAGGUAUUUCCCCAGGCCAACCCCUAUCUCUCCUAUCUCUCUCUCUCUCUCUCUCUCUCUGCGCGAUCACAAAUAUCCAGUCAACUCUCGCUAGAAAUUAAGACAUAAACCUCUAUCGUCAAAAGGUUGGGCCGAUUUUCAAAGCAUAUACCGCAAUGAACCCUGAAUAUUUAAGACUGAAGAGAUCACUGGUAUCAUGAAAGAUUUCAAUGAACCUGGCUUUCUUGCUCCCACUGGACUACACCUUGGUGGCACAAAGUACAUGGUUAUCUAAGGCGAGGCCGGUGCUAUGAUCCGUGGGAAGAAGGUCGAUUGGUUGGAAGAGAAGAUUGAUACGUCGUCACUUUUUGCUGAAGAUGGAGAUAUAUUAUCUAAUGUUGGUUGGAAUUUGAUUGAAGUUUUUGCUCUACUAACUCAUUUUUGUAUCAAGACAUGUAUACCUAGGCAACUUAGUUUUGGGAGAUUUAAAUGUGGAUAUGAUUUCUUUGCAAAUGUGUUAGCAUGUGGAGGAUAGCUAGCUACUAUAUUUUGUACUCAAGUACUGAGAUUGGAUGAUACAAGUCUGUAUUAGUUUUCUAAGGAGAAAUGUGUGAAUAGAGUGGUAUGAAAAAAAAAAAAAAAAACAAGAUAUUGAUGAU